rnacentral:rRNA from 1 species
GACGAACGCUGGCGGCGUGCUUAACACAUGCAAGUCGAACGGAAAGGCCCCGCUUUUGUGGGGUGCUCGAGUGGCGAACGGGUGAGUAACACGUGAGUAACCUGCCCUUGACUUUGGGAUAACUUCAGGAAACUGGGGCUAAUACCGGAUAGGAGCUCCUGCUGCAUGGUGGGGGUGGGAAAGUUUCGGCGGUUGGGGAUGGACUCGCGGCUUAUCAGCUUGUUGGUGGGGUAGUGGCUUACCAAGGCUUUGACGGGUAGCCGGCCUGAGAGGGUGACCGGCCACAUUGGGACUGAGAUACGGCCCAGACUCCUACGGGAGGCAGCAGUGGGGAAUAUUGCACAAUGGGCGGAAGCCUGAUGCAGCAACGCCGCGUGCGGGAUGACGGCCUUCGGGUUGUAAACCGCUUUCGCCUGUGACGAAGCGUGAGUGACGGUAAUGGGUAAAGAAGCACCGGCUAACUACGUG